rnacentral:rRNA from 1 species
GACGUAGGGCGCGAGCGUUGUCCGGAUUUAUUGGGCGUAAAGAGCUCGUAGGCGGCUUGUUGCGUCGACUGUGAAAACCCGAGGCUCAACCUCGGGCCUUGCAGUGGGUACGGGCAGACUAGAGGUGCGGUAGGGGAGACUGGAAUUCCUGGUGUAGCGGUGGAAUGCGCAGGAUAUCAGGAGGAACACCGAGUGGCGAAGGCAGGUC